UCAAUUGUUAUACCAAAAUAACUAUUGGAUUGGUUUACUAGAUAAUAUUAUAAUUUAAAUUGGAUGUAUCAAUGUUUGAUUUCUUCUUUGUGUUACUGAAACUAACAACUUGCAUUGCCUACUGCUAUUAGAAUGUAACUUGUAGAACCAAAUGUAACUUUUGCAAAGUUUCCUGCCAUAGACAAAUAAAUUAUAUAUGAUGAAUUUUAAUUUGUUUUAGGGAAGAGACACAUGCAUGAUAUUCAUAAUUCAACUUAUUACUAUAUUAUAAACAACAUAACAAAAGUCAUUAACAAUGCAGAAUCAAAUCGAACUUAGUACAAAUCCGCAACAGCAACUUGCACAACACAUACAUAUCAUAAUAUUGCAACAGCAAACAAAUCAGAAGUAUUUAAACAUCUAAAACAUCAAACAGCGUAAAACUGAGUUUUAUUUGGAUUGUUACCGAAAUUGUGUACACGAAUCAAUCACAGCAGCGGCGUGGCGUCAUAAUGCUCAUCAAACCGACGUCCUCACGGUUUUCCGAUAUAAUACGAAAAUCAAACUCAAACC
rnacentral:lncRNA from 1 species